GUGGACGCCGGGUGAGCGAGAGCAUUGGUGGGUGUUGGGCCGGAGGAAAACAGGAAGACCCAUCGGAGCGUGUGGAUUUGAGCCGCCGCAUUUCUUAACCCUAGAUCUCGAAAUGCAUCGUGAUUCCUGUUCACUGGACUGUAAGGUUCAUGUAGGCAAUCUUGGAAACAAUGGCAAUAAGACCGAAUUGGAACGGGCUUUUGGCUACUAUGGACCACUCCGAAGUGUGUGGGUUGCUAGAAACCCACCCGGCUUUGCUUUUGUUGAAUUUGAAGAUCCCCGAGAUGCAGCUGAUGCGGUCCGAGAGCUAGAUGGAAGAACACUAUGUGGCUGCCGUGUAAGAGUGGAACUGUCGAAUGGUGAAAAAAGAAGUAGAAAUCGUGGCCCACCUCCCUCUUGGGGUCGUCGCCCUCGAGAUGAUUAUCGUAGGAGGAGUCCUCCACCUCGUCGCAGAUCUCCAAGAAGGAGAAGCUUCUCUCGCAGACGAAGCAGGUCCCUUUCUAGAGAUAGGAGAAGAGAGAGAUCGCUGUCUCGGGAGAGAAAUCACAAGCCGUCCCGAUCCUUCUCUAGGUCUGGUAGCCGAUCUAGGUCAAAUGAAAGGAAAUAGAAGACAAUUUGCAAGAGAAGUGGUGUACAGGAAAUUACUUCAUUUGACGGGAUGACACAAAGGUGUGAUUCUCUAUGGUUUGAAAUGGAUCAUAUGAGGCAUGUAAUACCAAGAAUUGUUUCUUUACAAUGUUCCCUUAAGCAAAAUUGAAUUUGUUUUGAACUUUAGUUAUGCAUAGACUGAUAAUAAACCUCUAAACCUGCCCAGCAGAAGUCUGAUUUUUUUUUCUUUUAAAUACAGAGACAACUGGCAAAAAAACUAAGAUUUACUUUUUUUCCAUAGCUGGGAUAUAGGAUGCAGCUAUAGUUGAAUAAGCAGUCUUUAAAAACUGCUGUGAAACACAAGCCAUCAGGUAAGAAGAAAUGCUGAACUAUUAAAUUAGAGGUUUUUGAAAAAUCCAACUUUCAUCCUGGGCAGAGGUUGCCUAGUUGGUAUAGAAUCUGUUAUUCAAGAAAGUUUACCUUUGCUUUAGGUCAUAAGUUCCUUAUUUGAUUGCUGUAUAUGGAUACAUGGCUGUUCGUGAUGUUCUUUAUAUGCAAAUUUGAGAUUUCAAAAAAUGUCCUGCCAGUUUAAGGGUUCAUUGUAGAGCCAAACUUUGAGUUACUGUGCGAGAUUUUUUUUUCAUGCUGUCAUUUGUAAUAUGUUUUGUGAGAAUCCUUGGGAUUAAAGUUUUGGUUACAAAUUGUUGUUUAACUUGAAAGCCUGUUUUUCCUUGCAAACUCAAAUCUGUGAGCUUGGUACCAAGUCCAGGUAUAACAUUCCUAUUGGAAGCCAUACUUAUAUUUUCUUGUAAAGUGCUUUUGAAUUAAUAAAAUAUUAGCAUAAUGGUGUAAUAGUCAGUUGAACCCACUGUUAACCAUUGUUCUUAUCCCAUGGGAAGCAGUUGGUUACACGAUUCUUAUUUCAUAAGAAACACAGCUGAGAGGCACUAUGGAUUAGUCUUCUGAAGUGAAGGGAAUAUAGAUGUCACCUAAGUGAUAGUUAACACUUUUUUUUUUUUUUAAGGAGUAGAAGCCAGUUCAGGGUCCAUGUUAUUUAGUGACCAACAUUUUAAAGUAUAGCAGCAACCUGGUACUUAAACACAAAGUAAAUUGCCCAUUAACAAUCGUUUUUAUCUUUAGCAUGAAAACUUUCCACAGGUCUAAAAAUUGCUUCCAUUUUUUAAUUUGAGGUGUUGCAUGGGAAUUCUAAGCUGAUCCAUCAUGAUGUAAAGUUCACAAUAUGGUUCAAAUGUAACAGUGCAGAAUUGAAUAUGGAGGCAUGCAUAACCUUCCUCUUAGAAAAUGGGAGGAGUUGUAAUUUCAAAUUUUUGUGCAAUUAGAUUAAAUCAUAAUGCAACA